UCGCUAGUAAUCGCGGAUCAGAAUGCCGCGGUGAAUACGUUCCCGGGUCUUGUACACACCGCCCGUCACACCAUGGGAGUCGGAAAUGCCCGAAGCCGGUGACUCAACCUGCAAAGGAGAGAGCCGUCGAAGGCAGGUCUGAUAACUGGGGUGAAGUCGUAACAAGGUACC
rnacentral:rRNA from 1 species